rnacentral:rRNA from 1 species
CCUACGGGAGGCAGCAGUGGGGAAUCUUGCGCAGUGGGCGAAAGCCUGACGCAGCGAUGCCGCGUGAGUGAUGAAGGCCUUCGGGUUGUAAAGCUCUGUGGGGAGAGAAGAAUAAGUCGUCGUGAAUAACGCCGAUGAUGACGGUAUCUCCUUAGCAAGCACCGGCUAACUCUGUGCCAGCAGCCGCGGUAAGACAGAGGGUGCAAACGUUGUUCGGAAUUACUGGGCGUAAAGCGAGUGUAGGCGGUGAGAUAAGUCGGACGUGAAAGCCCGGGGCUCAACCUCGGAAGUGCGCUCGAUACUGUCUCGCUUGAGUGUCGGAGAGGUUGGUGGAAUUCUGGGUGUAGAGGUGAAAUUCGUAGAUAUCCAGAGGAACACCGGUGGCGAAGGCGGCCAACUGGACGACGACUGACGCUGAGACUCGAAAGUGUGGGGAGCAAACAGGAUUAGAUACCCUGGUAGUCCACACCGUAAACGAUGGGUGCUAGGUGCUGCAGCUUGUCUCCUGCGGUGCGUACGCUACGCAUAAGCGACCCCGCCCGUCGGAGGUACGGUCGCGAGAACGUAAACGUACGAAAGGAAGUUAGACGGACGUUAGGAGACGNGCCGACGGACGACACGAGGGGAGGUUAGG